rnacentral:rRNA from 1 species
AUUGAACGCUGGCGGCAUGCUUUACACAUGCAAGUCGAACGGCAGCGGGGGCUUCGGCCUGCCGGCGAGUGGCGAACGGGUGAGUAAUGUAUCGGAACGUGCCCAUGUCGUGGGGGAUAACGUAGCGAAAGCUACGCUAAUACCGCAUACGUCCUGAGGGAGAAAGCGGGGGGAUCUUUGGACCUCGCGCGAUUGGAGCGGCCGAUGUCGGAUUAGCUAGUAGGUGAGGUAAAGGCUCACCUAGGCGACGAUCCGUAGCGGGUCUGAGAGGAUGAUCCGCCACACUGGGACUGAGACACGGCCCAGACUCCUACGGAGGCAGCAGUGGGGAAUUUUGGACAAUGGGGGCAACCCUGAUCCAGCCAUGCCGCGUGAGUGAAAGAAGGCUCGGUGUAAG